UGGCCCCGGGGACUGCCAGUCGGCUCUAGGGAUGGACUCUAACUUGAGGUCUCAUCCUAACAUUGCAUCUAUUGGCAGAUAGAAAGUUACUUCCUCCUGAUUGGACAAGGCUCUGUCAGUAAGACUAAGGAAAAAACCAAUGGAAGGGAUGGGGUGUGUCUUGCCCCACCCUUGCUCUGAGCAGGUCUGAAAAAUAGUUAGGAUGAGAAAACGACCCUCAUUGUAAAGAUGAAGAAACCGAAGUUCAGAGAAGUCACAAAACUACAAAGUGGCACACCCCAAGCUAGAACCUCCUUCCUCUCAUUUGAAGGACCAUCAAACCAGCUGUUCCCCUCAUGGAAGAGGAGCAUAGACAUAAAAUGUCAAGGCAAUGGGGAAGGGGCAGAGAAAAGGCACAAACACUUGGAGGAGAGACAGAACAAUUAAUUGGCACAAAAAUACAGUAUUGGUGUCAGGAGGCUUUGGUGGGCUUGGAAACAUCAAGCAGCAGAUCUGAAGGAAAUCCAGCCCUGGCAUGAAAGAAACGGGGCAGGCCAGGCGCAGUGGCUCACUCCUGUAAUCUCAGCA
rnacentral:lncRNA from 10 species